rnacentral:rRNA from 1 species
CCUACGGGUGGCAGCAGUGAGGAAUAUUGGUCAAUGGCCGGAAGGCUGAACCAGCCAUGCCGCGUGAAGGUCAGUGCCCUAUGGGCGUUAAACUUCUUUUGUGCGGGAGCAAUAAUGGUCACGUGUGGCCAGACGAGAGUACCGUACGAAUAAGCAUCGGCUAACUCCGUGCCAGCAGCCGCGGUAAUACGGGGGAUGCAAGCGUUAUCCGGGUUUAUUGGGUUUAAAGGGUGCGUAGGCUGGGAGGUAAGUCAGCGGUGAAAUGCCCCCGCUCAACGGGGUGAAGUGCCAUUGAUACUGCCUGGCUGGAAUGCGGAUGCCGUGGGAGGAAUGUGUGGUGUAGCGGUGAAAUGCAUAGAUAUCACACAGAACACCGAUUGCGAUGGCAUCUCACGAAUCCGCGAUUGACGCUGAUGCACGAAAGCGUGGGUAUCAAACAGGAUUAGAUACCCUAGUAGUC